AUACGGAGGGUGCAAGCGUUACUCGGAAUCACUGGGCGUAAAGCGCGCGCAGGCGGGCUGAUAAGUUGGAUGUGAAAGCCUACGGCUCAACCGUAGAACUGCAUCCAAAACUGUCAGUCUAGAGUCUGGGAGGGGAAGAUGGAAUUAGUUGUGUAGGGGUAAAAUCCGUAGAGAUACCUAGGAAUACCAAAAGCGAAGGCGAUCUUCUGGAACAGUACUGACGCUGAGGCGCGAAAGCGUGGGGAGCAAACAGGAUUAGAAACCCCAGUAGUCC
rnacentral:rRNA from 1 species